rnacentral:rRNA from 1 species
AGUGAACGCUGGCGGUAGGCCUAACACAUGCAAGUCGAACGGCAGCACAGUAAGAGCUUGCUCUUACGGGUGGCGAGUGGCGGACGGGUGAGGAAUACAUCGGAAUCUACUUUUUCGUGGGGGAUAACGUAGGGAAAAUUACGCUAAUACCGCAUACGACCUACGGGUGAAAGCAUGGGAUCUUCGGACCUUGCGCGAUUGAAUGAGCAGAUGUCGGAUUAGCUAGUUGGAGGGGUAAAGGCCCACCAAGGCGACGAUCCGUAGCUGGUCUGAGAGGAUGAUCAGCCACACUGGAACUGAGACACGGUCCAGACUCCUACGGGAGGCAGCAGUGGGGAAUAUUGGACAAUGGGCGAAAGCCUGAUCCAGCCAUGCCGCGUGGGUGAAGAAGGCCUUCGGGUUGUAAAGCCCUUUUGUUGGGAAAGAAAAGCAGCAGGUUAAUACCCCGCUGUUCUGACGGUACCCAAAGAAUAAGCACCGGCUAACUUCGUG